rnacentral:ncRNA from 1 species
AGCUGGCGGCAUAGUUCCAGCAUCCCGGAACACGGUGAAAAUCCGUGGCGGACCCGCCGCUGUAAUCGGGGACGCCGCUUCGACGGCGAGAGCCAGCCACUGACGGGGACCACCCGGUCGGGAAGGCGCGAGGCGGCGGUCGAUCCGAGAGCCAGAAGACCUGCUGGAACGUCAGAUCGGGC